GGCCUUGCUUGAUGAGCUCCCUAUGCCUCAUUUGAUUGUGGAAAUCACACCUUUUCCUGCGGGCCCAUUUGCAGAAAACGAUUACUCGAAAGCUGAAAUAUUGAAGUUUCUUAAAGAAAGAAACUGAAAUAGAGAGAUUAUGUGAAAAAUUCGUUGGUGAAGAAAUUACUAGCUGCUAGGGAUCUUGCGGUAUGACCAAAUAAUCCCUUUUCUAUCUUCCGUUGGUUGUUUUCUUAUAUAGUAAUUAUCUAAACAUGUUACUUAAGGGUAAUCUAUGAGAUAAAUUCUCAUUUGGAACAUAUCUUGUUGAGCAAAAAACAGUCUUUCGACAAUAUUAAGUUGCAUUAUUGUCUACUUAUCCCAAAAAAAAAAGUUAGAGUGCAUUUGGAUGGAGGGAUUUUUUCAAAUGUGUUGUAACUAUAUGAUUUUUCGCAUGUCACCUUAAAUUAGUACCAAUUACUUAGAUCUAUUGGUUGUUUCUUUUUGGUUCAACAUGCCAACUGUUCUAGCUGGCAAAAUUGAGAAGUGAUUGUUGCACUAUGUUUUUGUAGAUCAAUGUUAUUUAUGUUUAUCUUAUAGUUUUCUUCUAACUCUAAUUAUUAUUCCCAUUUAUGUUAAUCGUUUAAGCAGAAGAACGAACUAUUGUUUAUAUUUUUAUUUUCUUUGCAGAACCCAAUACUCGUGAAGUGUCUAAAAUGGUCAAGAGUAUGGAGGAUAAAAGAAUUGAUAGAAAAGAUUUCAUGAGUGUAUGAGAAAAGAGAAUCACAACAGUUAGGAAGAACCACCCAGCGAUGUGCAAUCUUUGCAACUGCACCAACAAGGUGGGCACAAGAAGAUAGCAGUAGUUGCAAAAGCUUAAAGACGGCCAAUAGAGGAAAAAUAAAAUAUUGCAGCAAAUGAAUGAAGAAUUGGUUUAUAA
rnacentral:lncRNA from 1 species